GACGAACGCUGGCGGCGUGCUUAACACAUGCAAGUCGAACGGAAAGGCCCUGCUUUUGUGGGGUGCUCGAGUGGCGAACGGGUGAGUAACACGUGAGUAACCUGCCCUUGACUUUGGGAUAACUUCAGGAAACUGGGGCUAAUACCGGAUAGGAGCUCCUGCUGCAUGGUGGGGGUUGGAAAGUUUCGGCGGUUGGGGAUGGACUCGCGGCUUAUCAGCUUGUUGGUGGGGUAGUGGCUUACCAAGGCUUUGACGGGUAGCCGGCCUGAGAGGGUGACCGGGCACAAUGGGACUGAGAGACGGACCAGAGUCCUACGGGAGGCAGCGGUGGGGAAUAUUGCACAAUGGGAGGAAGCCUGAUGCAGCAACGCCGCGUGCGGGAUGACGGCCUGCGGGUUGUAAACAGCUUUAGCCUGUGACGAAGCGUGAGUGACGGUAAUGGGUAAAGAAGCACCGGCUAACUACGUG
rnacentral:rRNA from 1 species